GCUGGGUGCAGUGGCAUGCACCUAUAGUCCCAGCUAUUCAGGAAGCAGAGGCAGGAGAAUGACUUGAGCCCAGGAGUUGGAGAACAGCCCAGGCAACACAGUGAUACCCUGUCUGAA
rnacentral:sRNA from 1 species